rnacentral:misc_RNA from 1 species
GAAAUGCGAUAAGUAGUGUGAAUUGCGGAAUUCAGUGAAUCAUCGAAUCUUUGAACGCACAUUGCGCCCUUUGGUAUUCCAAAGGGCAUGCCUGUUCGAGCGUCAUUUGUACCCUCAAGCUUUGCUUGGUGUUGGGCGUCUUGUCUCUAGCUUUGCUGGAGACUCGCCUUAAAGUAAUUGGCAGCCGGCCUACUGGUUUCGGAGCGCAGCACAAGUCGCACUCUCUAUCAGCAAAGGUCUAGCAUCCAUUAAGCCUUUUUUUCAACUUUUGACCUCGGAUCAGGUAGGGAUACCCGCUGAACUUAAGC